GCCAGCGUAGCUCAGUCGGCAGAGCGGCUGAUUCGUAAUCAGCAGGUCGAGGGUUCGAUCCCCCCCGCUGGCU
rnacentral:tRNA from 1 species